rnacentral:rRNA from 1 species
AUUGAACGCUGGCGGCAGGCCUAACACAUGCAAGUCGAACGGUAGCACAGAGAGCUUGCUCUCGGGUGACGAGUGGCGGACGGGUGAGUAAUGUCUGGGAAACUGCCCGAUGGAGGGGGAUAACUACUGGAAACGGUAGCUAAUACCGCAUAACGUCGCAAGACCAAAGUGGGGGACCUUCGGGCCUCACACCAUCGGAUGUGCCCAGAUGGGAUUAGCUAGUAGGUGGGGGAAUGGCUCACCUAGACGACGAUCCCUAGCUGGUAUGAGAGGGAGACCAGCCACACUGGAACUGAGACACGGUCCAGACUCCUACGGGAGGCAGCAGUGGGGAAUAUUGCACAAUGGGCGCAAGCCUGAUGCAGCCAUGCCGCGUGUAUGAAGAAGGCCUUCGGGUUGUAAAGUACUUUCAGCGGGGAGGAAGGCGGUGAAGUUAAUAGCUUCACCGAUUGACGUUACCCGCAGAAGAAGCACCGGCUAACUCCGUGCCAGCAGCCGCGGUAA